rnacentral:rRNA from 1 species
UACGUAGGGUGCAAGCGUUAAUCGGAAUUACUGGGCGUAAAGCGUGCGCAGGCGGUUAUGCAAGACAGAUGUGAAAUCCCCGGGCUUAACCUGGGAACCGCAUUUGUGACUGCAUAGCUGGAGUACGGCAGAGGGGGAUGGAAUUCCGCGUGUAGCAGUGAAAUGCGUAGAUAUGCGGAGGAACACCGAUGGCGAAGGCAGUCCCCUGGGCCUGGACUGACGCUCAGGCACGAAAGCGUGGGGAGCAAACAGG